CAAAAAGUUUAUCAACUUUUAUUUUAUUUGUUAUUCUUGAUUCAUUUCCCAAGAGUUUAGGCCUAAACUUCCACUGACAUGCUCCUGACAUAGUUAUUUACAUCUGCCAAACAAGUGUUAACAUGCUACCACUCCAUGCUAGUGGUGUUUGACACCCACUUCGCAUUUCAGUAGUUCACUGCACAAGGUGCAAGGCAAUGGACAAUCAGGACAGUCCAGAACAACCUCUGAUCUUUUGGCUGUCACUCAAACUAUACUAUCUUCACAAACUUGCACUUCCCUUAAUCUCUACAUAAUCCUUACCUCAGAGUAAUUAAAAACAUGCUCCAUGCCAUUUCAUUGGUAUCAUUUAGCUAAACAUUUUCUAAUCUGCCUUCUCAUUCCACUCACAAGGUCUGUAAAUCUUUUGCAUGUUGAUUUCUUUUUAAAUCAACCUUUGUACUUUUCUUUUGACUCCGCACGUUAUGUGGAAUGUUUUCUUUUUCAGACAGAAUACUACCUUUCUCUCCCUCUCCAUCACCUCAGCCUUAGGCCAUGUCUACACUAGCAUGUCUACACUGUCCCAAUGCAGCUGUGCCACGGUAAGAUCACUUGUGUAGCUGCUCUAUGCUGACAGAAGAGAGUUCUCCCGUUGAUAUAAUAAAACAACCUAAACGAGCGGCAAUAGGUAUGUCAGCAGGAGAAGCUCUCUCACCGACAUAGCGCUGUGCACACUACCACUUAUACCGGUAAAACUUAUGUCUGUCAAGGGGGUGUUUUUUCACACCCCUGAGUGACACAAGUUUUGCCAACAUAAGUGGUAAUGUAGAGAUGGCCUUCCUCACCUGCCCACAACGCCCUAUUGAAAGCAACUCUGCCCAUGUCUACACUACAGACCUAUAUAGGUAUAACUACGUCACUCAGGGUAUGUCUUCACUACCGGCCGGAUUGGCAGGCAGCGAUCAAUCCAGUGGGGAUUGAUUUAUCGCAUCUAGUCUAGCACUCUCCCGUCGACUCCUGUACUCCAGCUCUGCAAGAGGUGCAGGCAGAGUCGAUGGGAGAGCGGCAGCAGUCGACUCACCGCAGUAAGUCGAUCUAAGUACGUCAUCUUCAGCUACGUUAUUCACAUAGCUGAAGUUGCGUAACUUAGAUCGAUUUCCCCCUCCCCUCCCCCCAAUGUAGACCAGGCCUUAGGGAUGUGAAAAAUCCCCCCUCCCCGAGUGAUGUAGUCAUACUGACCUAACCCCUCCGUUCAGACAGUGCUACAUCAAUGGGAAGACUUCUCCCUUCGAUGUAGUUACCGUCUCUCAGGGAGGUGGAUUAACUACACUGGUGGGAAAAGCUCUCCUGCCAGUGUAGGUGCUUCUGCACUAAAGGACUCUAGCAACACAGGCUGAUGCAGCAUUUUAAGUGUAGACCUGCCCUCUGCUAGGUGUUUUAACAUCUCAGUAAUUUUCCUCAGUGAGACGAUAGUCAUCUCCCUCCCCUCAUUAUACCCUACAGUAGUGGUGUGCAAACUGUGGGGUGUACCCCCCUGAGAGAGUGCAGAGGAAUUUGCAGGGGGGUGAGUGCGACACCAAGCGGCUUGUGCCAGCCCCACAUGGCGGGGUCUGGGCCAGACCCUCUAGAGGGCAGGGAGGGAACGCCACCCACUCCCUGACUUACCUCAGAGGGCCACCCAGCCUGUAGGCCAGUGUGCCACGCCAAUUUCUGCUCCUGGCAGCUUCUGUGCCCAGCGCUGACUCUGCCCCCGGAGACCAUUGCACGCACCUUCCCCACCCUGAGAUCCUGAGGGGGAAGGGGCAGAGGGGCAGGUCUGGGCUUUGCCCUAGUGGUGCAGCCUGGCUGCCAGGUAGAAGCAGCCCACUGCUAAGGAAGCCUUGGCUGUGCAGUAAUGUAGGGAGGUGCAGGCAGAUUCCCUUAACGGUAAAGGGCGAGGAGGGCAUGGCUGGAAAAGUUUGUGCACCACUGCCCUACAGUGUUUCUGUUUUAACACUUUUUUUUGGGGGGGUAGAAACACAGUCUUAUAUGAAUCUCCUGUGAUGAUCCUCUUCUUUAUUUGUAUGCCUUUGUGAAAUAAUCACAUGAUAAACAGAAUAUAUAAAUACUCUGGUAUUAAUGAUUUUUACUGUACUAACAUGGCUAACAAGGCAAGCAUGUGAGUUUGACGUAGCAUUUCUCAUUACAGACAGCAAAUGUUACCAUAGUCGUGUUGUUCGCCGACCAUUUCUUUUGAACUUUAUUAGUUUUUGGCAGUGGAGGAGAGUCAAAGCUGCUGUUACUAAAUUUGAACAAUUAGCCAUGAAGGGGCCUGCAGCAGGUACGGUAUUGCAGAGCUGACUUUGCAUCCCUGGCCACCAGAAGCAGAGCUGAUAUUGCAAGACUGGACCAAGUAGCAGCAUGCAGAGUGGGAAGGGUGGGGCAGUUCUCUCUGGACGAGAGCAGACUGGCAGAGGAGUGACACCACAUGAAUACUACUGAAUCAAAGGCCAUGUCUACACUACAAAAUUAUGUCAACCUAACUUAUGUCGGCAUACAGCCACCAUAGUUAUUAAAUCGUUUGUGUGGGCACACAUUUGGCUCCUUGUGUUGGCAGUGUGUGUCCUCACCAGGAGCACUUGUAUCAAUUGUAUUGUCACUGUGGGGCAUUGUGGGACAGCUCCUGAAAGCCGGUAACAGUCAAUGCAAGCAAUGCAGUGUCUACUUUGAUGCUGCAUCAAUCAAUCACAUCAGUCAUGACUGUAUGUAUGUGACGAUGUAUCCCAUAAUGCUUUAUGGGAAUAUGACAUAACUGGAAUAUGUUUUAUGCUACAUGUGCCAUGUAACAUAUCUCUGUAAAGGUUAUGAUCUACUGAAUCUAUUCAUCCUAUUUGUACACACAUAUCAUUUUUGUACUUGAAGUUAUGAAUAUUGGCUGCAUGCUUGCUUGAUUUCUAAGUAAGCUUUGUAAGGCAUUUGGUCAGCUUCUUUAGAAAGGAAUUUGCAAAGUUAAGUGCCCUGUCAAGAAGCACUUAAGGAAGACUGGAUCUUGGAAUGCUCCAAUCCAGAUAAGAAGUCUACUUGAGGACGUUCAAGGUAGCAUGUGAACAAUGGCUUCUGCCUGUAAAAACUGUGAGUCAUGCAUGGACAUGUGACUAGCUCAGGUGACUCCAAACUCCAUCUUGGAGCUGGACUUUGCAUAGGAAAGAGGAGGGGGUCUCUACCCAUAAGAGAAAGUCUAUUUAAGCCCAUGGGAGACCCCUACAUUUUGUCUUCAGCUGGCUAAAGAGAGAGCCUCUCCACCCCCAAGGAUACCUGAAAGGAACUGGGACAAAAGACAGUAACUACAGGGGGUGUGAGUGAUUGCUGGACCCAGGCUAGCAGGAGACUAAUCUGUAAAAGGAAGCUUACUGGUGAGGUUUUUAUCUGUACUCAGUUGUAUUACUAUAUUAGACUUAGAUUUGCGUGUUUUAUUUUAUUUUACUUGGUAAUUCACUUUGUUCUGUCUGUUACUGCUUAAAACCACUUAAAUGUGCUAGCUACAAA